AUCAGGACCUGAUCCAAAGUCCAUUGAAGUCAAUGGGAGUCUUUCCAUUGAUCUCAGUGGGCUUUGGAUCAGGCCCCACACAU
rnacentral:pre_miRNA from 1 species